rnacentral:rRNA from 1 species
AUACGUAGGGGGCGAGCGUUGUCCGGAAUGAUUGGGCGUAAAGGGCGCGUAGGCGGCCCGGUAAGUCUGGAGUGAAAGUCCUGUUUUUAAGAUGGGAAUUGCUUUGGAUACUGUCGGGCUUGAGUGCAGGAGAGGUAAGUGGAAUUCCCAGUGUAGCGGUGAAAGGCGUAGAGAUUGGGAGGAACACCAGUGGCGAAGGCGACUUACUGGACUGUAACUGACGCUGAGGCGCGAAAGUGUGGGGAGCAAACAGGAUUAGAUACCCUGGUAGUCCACACUGUAAACGAUGAAUGCUAGGUGUAGGGGGUAUCAACCCCUUCUGUGCCGCAGUCAACACAAUAAGCAUUCCGCCUGGGGAGUACGGCCGCAAGGUUGAAACUCAAAUGAAUUGACGGGG